GGAGAAGUCGCCUAGUUGGUCGAGGGCGCAUGAUUGGAAAUCAUGUAGGCUCCUAAAGGGUCUCGAGGGUUCGAAUCCCUCCUUCUCCGCCA
rnacentral:tRNA from 2 species